AUUGAACGCUGGCGGCAGGCCUAACACAUGCAAGUCGAACGAGUGGCGGACGGGUGAGUAAUGUCUGGGAAACUGCCCGAUGGAGGGGGAUAACUACUGGAAACGGUAGCUAAUACCGCAUACCAUCGGAUGUGCCCAGAUGGGAUUAGCUAGUAGGUGGGGUAACGGCUCACCUAGGCGACGAUCCCUAGCUGGUCUGAGAGGAUGACUAGCUAAACUGGAACUGAGCGACGGUCCAGACUCCCACGGGAGGUAGGAGAGGGGAAUAGUGCACAAUGUGCACAAGGCUGAUGCAGCCAUGGCACGUGAAUGGAGGAGGCGUUCGGGGUGUAAAGGUUUUUCAGCGAGGAAGCGUUACUCGAAGAAGAAGCACCGGCUAACUCCGUGCCAGCAGCCGCGGUAAUUC
rnacentral:rRNA from 1 species